rnacentral:rRNA from 1 species
CACGUAGGGGGCAAGCGUUGUCCGGAAUCAUUGGGCGUAAAGAGCGCGUAGGCGGCCUUGUAAGUCCGCUGUGAAAGUCAAGGGCUCAACCCUUGAAUGCCGGUGGAUACUGCAGGGCUAGAGUCCGGAAGAGGCGAGUGGAAUUCCUGGUGUAGCGGUGAAAUGCGCAGAUAUCAGGAGGAACACCGAUGGCGAAGGCAGCUCGCUGGGACGGUACUGACGCUGAGGCGCGAAAGCGUGGGGAGCAAACAGG